AUGUAGUCAGCAACAGAAGGUGGCAGAUCACUCAGCAGCACUGCUGCACUGGGUGAUAAGAUUUUCAUUUUCCUUAGAGUCUUGCUUUCUUUCUCACUGGAAUUAUGCUGUGACUCCUUCCCCCCCCCCCCAGCAUUAAACUGUGCCAUGCUGGGGAUGCAAGUAACACAAUGUGUACCACGAUAAUGGUGAUCAGUACCCUUAUUGUACUGCUACGACGCCAUUUUUUCAAUAAGGUGCAACCACUACCUGAUGGGCUUGAAGAUAACCCAACCAAUGGUGGGCUGCAGACAGCAUCACCAUCGCCUGAAAGGUCCAAAAGAAAUUGAUCUGAUGUCGUUUGCAGCAGCACCCAUCCUAAGGACAUGGCAGGAGAAAGACAAGUCUGACUCUAUGGCCGGUCAUCUUAAUCAGUACUGGAAUUGGAAUUCUGUUUGCCCAAAAACCUGCUCAUUUUGAUGCAAUGGAAGAACAUCUCCUCCUGUCUGGGAUUCCAAUAUUCUACGAGAUUGUUCCCAGCCACACUAUAUGGGACAAGUGUGCGAGUUUCCCAUCCAGGUGAUAAGUAGCAGAUGGCUUUUUCUAGAGAUUAAAGGCUUUUGCAUUUAAAAAGAUGACUGACGUGGAUUUCUUAAUUGGGAGCAAAAAUACAAACAAGUACAUGUGCUUUGGAUUUUCCAUCAAAAGAAAACAAUGACACCCAUGUUACCCACAAAAAGAUCUGGGAUUUCACAAAUUCACUGUCUGUUUUUCUGAGGUCUUAUAUGCAGUGAUCAUUUUGGUUAAUAUGGCAAUAAAGUAGAUACACUAAAGAAUAGAAAGCAAAUUUAAAAGAUGAGUUAAAUACAAAUACAUUUCAAGAAGCACAAACGUGAUAAAAUACAGAGCACUGUUAAUGUCAGCAGGAGGAGGAAUUCGUUUUAACAUCAAUGUUUAUAUAUAAUUUUAUGUAUUUAUUAAAAAGUACUCAAUUUA